rnacentral:tRNA from 1 species
AUUUUAGUUUAAUUUAGAAUUUUGUUUUGAUAGGACAAAGGUUUAUGAUAGUUUUU